UACGUAGGGUGCGAGCGUUGUCCGGAAUUAUUGGGCGUAAAGAGCUCGUAGGCGGUGUGUCACGUCGGCCGUGAAAACCUGCAGCUUAACUGUGGGCGUGCGGUGGAUACUGCCGGGCUAGAGGACGGUAGAGGCGAGUGGAAUUCCCGGUGUAGCGGUGAAAUGCGCAGAUAUCGGGAGGAACACCAGUAGCGAAGGCGGCUCACUGGCCCGGUACUGACGCUGAGGUGCGAAAGCGUGGGGAGCAAACAGG
rnacentral:rRNA from 1 species